CAGGCCUAACACAUGCAAGUCGAGCGGAUGAAGGGAGCUUGCUCCUGGAUUUAGCGGCGGACGGGUGAGUAAUGCCUAGGAAUCUGCCUAGUGGUGGGGGAUAACGUUCGGAAACGGGCGCUAAUACCGCAUACGUCCUACGGGAGAAAGCGGGGGAUCUUCGGACCUCGCGCCAUUAGAUGAGCCUAGGUCGGAUUAGCUAGUUGGUGAGGUAAUGGCUCACCAAGGCGACGAUCCGUAACUGGUCUGAGAGGAUGAUCAGUCACACUGGAACUGAGACACGGUCCAGACUCCUACGGGAGGCAGCAGUGGGGAAUAUUGGACAAUGGGCGAAAGCCUGAUCCAGCCAUGCCGCGUGUGUGAAGAAGGUCUUCGGAUUGUAAAGCACUUUAAGUUGGGAGGAAGGGCAGUAAAUUAAUACUUUGCUGUUUUGACGUUACCAACAGAAUAAGCACCGGCUAACUUCGUGCCAGCAGCCGCGGUAAUACGAAGGGAGCAAGCGUUAAUCGGAAUUACUGGGCGUAGAGCGCGCGUAGGUGGUUCGGAACGA
rnacentral:rRNA from 1 species